rnacentral:rRNA from 1 species
AAGGGCACCACAAGAACGCGUGGCAGCAUGUGGCUUAAUUUGACUCAACCCGGGAAAUCUUACCAGGUCCAGACAUAUUGAGGAUUGACAGGCGAUAGUAUAUAAAAUAUAUUUUUAUAUGCAUAAAAAUGAUAGUCCUUUCAUGAUUAUAUGAUAGGUGGUGCAUGGCCGUUCUUAGUUCGUGGAGUGAUUUGUCUGCUUAAUUGCGUUUCAGUAAAUAAAAUAUAUAAUAUAUUAUAAUAUUUAGUUCUGCCAUUUAUUUAUGGAUUUAAAGUGAACAUAUUAUAUAUAUUAUUAUAUAAUAAAUGAAUGCAACGAACGUGACCGUAACCUUUUAUUGCUAUUGAAAAUUAUAAUUAUAGCAUAAAAUUAAAGGAACCGCUGUCAUUACUAAAUAUGUGUUAAAAUAGAGUAAGAUUAUGGCAAUAACAGGUCUGUGAUGCCCUCAGAUGUUCUGGGCUGCACACGUGCUACAAUAAUUACAUUAAUAAGUAUAUAUACUUUAUAAUAUAUAAUAUUAUAUUACAACCUAUUUCGAAAGUAAAUCGGUAAUCAUUUAAAAAUCGUGAUUAAUUAAUAUAAAUAUAAUUAAUUUAAGGUGGGGAUAGUGUAUUGUUAAUUAUUACACUUGGCCUUAACUAGGAAUGCCUUGUACUCUUCUUUGGUUUAACAUACCAAGAGGAAUACGUCCCUGCCCUUUGUACACACCGCCCGUCGCUCUUACCGAUGAAUUAUAUUAUAAAUCUAAGGGAUUUAUUAUAAUUAAAAUAUAAAAAACUUAUAUACAUAAUGUGAUUUAAAGGAAAGAGAAGUCGAACAAGGCA